GUCCACCGAGGCGAUAUGCAAAAGCAGUGAGAGAGAGAGAGAGAGAGAGAGAGAGAGUGAAAAUCAGCUCUCCUCACGUCGACCGUCGUCAUCAUCGCUGGCUGGCUGGCUGACUACAUCACGCAGUUGGCUGGUCGGUCGAUCACAUACCCACCUAAAUCGAAAGGGUCUAUUCAGUCAGUGUAGCAUCGAACUGGCACCGUCCCUGAUGUUUGAUGGUAUCUCGUCGUGAUGGAUCGCCAACAUCAACAGCAUCAGCACUAGCAGUAGUCUGAUUAGUGAGUGAUUAGCCAGCCAGCAAGCACAGUAUGAUUGGAUUGGAAAUUUUCUUCGCUGAUCUGUCGGUUCAAGUUUUCUCAUAAAGUGUAAAUGUGUUUUGUCUUUUCUACGCAAACCAGGAAGAACAACUCGGUUUUAGUUAAAAUCCGAAAGUGAUGAGAGUUUAGGCACAAUUAUUACUGUUGGUACUAUCGCGAGAAUGCUUUGGAUGAGGAAUCAGUUGGUGCGAAAAUGUGUGUUUAAAAUAGUCACUUUUUAAGAGCAGCAAGAGAAAAAUGUGUCUACAAAAAAUUAAGUGAAAUAUAAUUACCCACGAGUGUCCGAUUGCGUUACACAGGAAAAUACCAAAACCAAGUGUAGUUUUUUUUUGCGUUGAAAGCUUACCCAGCCGCCACCACAGGGUUGUUUGCAGCUGUUUGACAGUAUCAGGCAAAGGUAAAGAAGAGUGUGCAGAGUUGGUUGUGCUGGGCUGUUGGUGUGAGUGCGAUUAUUAUCACACGCCCCAUCCAUCCCGUGGAAGGUUGCAACAGCUGACCGAGCGGUGGACUAUUUGCGUGUAUUCUGGAUUGGGAAAUUGAAUGAAGUUCGACUAGAGUUGCAUCGAUAUCAGAAUGAAUCCCGCCAUUAGUGAGCAUGAGGCGGCCUCGUUGGUCGCAGAAAUGUUCGAUCAUUUUUGUGCCGCGACCACCAUGCGCCAGAUUCUGGGCCUGUACAGAAACAUGUGUGAUAUCCUCGGGCUACGACCUGGGCCGCUGAACGAAUUUUAUCCCAAGUUCAAAGCGAAAAUUCGUAACUGGAAAGCGCAAGCGUUGUGGAAAAAGUUUGACACCCGCGCCUCGCAUCGCGUGUACAACAAAGGCACAGCCGCUAGCGGCACCCGUGUACUAGUCAUCGGCGCAGGACCCUGCGGUCUGCGUACGGCAAUCGAAGCACAGCUGCUCGGUGCCAAAGUGGUUGUAGUAGAAAAACGUGAUAGAAUUAGUAGGAAUAACGUACUGCAUCUGUGGCCAUUUCUAAUCACCGAUCUCAAAGCGCUGGGAGCGAAGAAAUUUUACGGUAAGUUCUGUGCCGGUUCCAUCGAUCACAUCUCGAUCCGGCAGCUGCAGUGCAUUCUGCUCAAGGUUGCCCUGCUGCUGGGUGUGGAAGUGCACGAAGGCGUUUCGUUCAUACGCGAGAUCGAACCAAAGGACGGUUGCGGUUGGCGCGCAGCCGUCUCACCCGAAGAACAUGCCGUCUCCCAUUAUGAGUUCAACGUGUUGAUCGGUGCCGACGGUAAGCGCAAUACCUUGGAAGGCUUCAAGCGAAAAGAGUUUAGGGGUAAACUGGCGAUCGCUAUCACGGUCAAUUUCAUCAACAAGAAAUCCGAAGCGGAGGCCAAAGUCGAGGAGAUCAGCGGCGUGGCGUUCAUCUUCAAUCAGUCGUUCUUCAAGGAACUGUACCAGACAACCGGUAUCGAUCUGGAGAACAUUGUGUACUAUAAGGACGAAACGCACUAUUUCGUGAUGACCGCGAAAAAGCACAGUCUUCUCGACAAGGGUGUGAUCAUUCAAGAUUAUGCCGAUCCGGCCGAACUACUUUCUUCGUCAAACGUAGACACCGCCAAGCUGUUGGAUUACGCCCGGGAAGCCGCCAAUUUCUCGACCAAAUACCAAAUGCCUAACAUAGAAUUCGCGGUAAACCAUUACGGCAAACCGGAUGUAGCCAUGUUCGAUUUUACCUCGAUGUUCGCUGCAGACAACUCGUGUAAGGUUACCGUCCGAAAGAACUACCGAUUACUAUCCUGUCUGGUUGGAGAUAGCCUGUUGGAACCGUUCUGGCCAACGGGAUCAGGUUGCGCUCGAGGUUUCCUAUCCAGUAUGGAUGCUGCGUACGCGAUCAAACUUUUCUCCAACCAAAAGAACAGUCUUCUAGCGGUGCUAGCGCAACGGGAAUCCAUCUACCGGCUACUCGCACAAACAACCCCGGAAAACCUGCACCGAGAUAUUGGAGCCUACACGCUUGAUCCCAGCACCAGGUACCCCAAUCUAAACAAAGCCUCAGUCAACAUUAUCCAAGUGAAACACCUACUGGACAGCGACGAUCCGGCACUGCUCGAACAGACGUUCCUGGACACCAAUGUGCUUACGGCUGGUCCGGAAGUUACCAUCACCAAACGCAAGCGACGCACAAACGACACGGUUCCGCUGGGCACGGUACUGUUACGGUGGAUCAAAUCACAGCUGAAAGAUAACGAAUUCGUGCAGGAGUUAACGGAUGCAGCUCAGUGCUUUACCAACGGUCAAGUUCUGUGCACUUUGAUUAACCGGUACCGGCCCGACCUGGUGAAUUUGGAGGAGCUGGAAGGAUUCGGUUCAAACGAGUGUAACGAGCAUGCCUUCUCCAUUCUUGAAGAUCAUUUAGGAAUACCUCGUGUAAUGUCCGGCCAAGACUCGGUAACACUGAUCGGUGUCGACUCGAAGCUGUGGCUGAACUACCUGGAGCAGAUAUGCGAAGUGUUCCGCGGAGAAAUCCCGCACGUCAAGCACCCGAAGCUGGACUAUGCCGAGUUCAAGCAGAAGCAGCAGAUCAACAACAUGGAAGAGUUCGCAAAACUGCGCCGUUUUGCGGCGAAUCGAAUGGCCGCCAUAAAUGUACCGGUUGUGGCCGCCGCUGGUGCUACCGGAUCGACUGGUGCGCGAAAGUCUUCCAGCUACUAUCAUUCGAACGAGGAGGAACGCAUCAAGCGCAGCCGGAAGGUACUGGGCGCCGAAUCUAGUCCAAUGGCUUCACCACAAACCGAUACCACGAAGCGAGCGAAGAAACGUCGUAGUUAUGAGAAAUUUGGCAAUAUUGAGGAACGCACCCGCCGUUUCCAGGAGAUCGAAGCGAACCGGUGCGAUCGCCAGACGAAACGACGCCUGGCACGGGCACAGCAGACUAACAACUUCUACACUAGUCUUCACAUGCUGCAGGCGAACACUUUCCUGCGCGAAAGUGACAGCUCCAGCGCAUUUGAGGACUACUCGCUGUUCCUCUACCGGCAGUCGGCACCGGAAUUCAACGAUCGCGUCAAAGAGAUGGAACGGAAAAUUCUCUAUCCCGACCGCGAUCGUGGUUUAGCCGCGGCCUACCCGCGCAGUCUCGCUGCCGUGGCCGACGGUGAACAGUUUAGCGAUCGGAUCAAAUCGAUGGAGCAGCGCAUCGGUGGCAAACAGGCGCCCAUCACCGAGAAAAAGCCGAAAGAUCUACUUCGGGCGAUCGGUAAGAUCGACAGCAGCGAUUGGAAUGUGAAGGAGAUCGAGAAGAAGAUUGAACUUUCGAAAAAGGCGACCGACAUUGGCAAGAGCCGUGAGCGCGUUCCGAAGUGGAACCGUGAGCAAUUUUUAGCUCGGCAAAAUAAGCUCACCCAGCAGCCAGAGGAUGAAAAGUACAAGGAGUUUGACAAUUCACUCAAAGCGAUCGACAAACAGCUGAAGGAGGGACACAACUUGGAUCUGGGCGAACGUGGUAAGAAUAAGGUUGCGUCCAUUGCUGGACAAUUAUUGAGCACCAAGCAGCAGCAGCAGCGGCAACAGCAGCAGCAGCAGCAACAGCAACAUCAUCAUCAUCAUCCGAAGUCGACAACUAAAGCCGCUCUCGUCCUAACGUCUGCUGGAGUAGCAGAAAAGUGCCACUUCUGUAAGCAGCGUGUGUACUUAAUGGAGAAGAUUUCAGCCGAAGGACUCACACUGCACCGAUCCUGUCUCAAGUGCCAUCACUGCCACACGAAUUUAAGACUUGGUGGCUACGCCUUCGACCGAGACGAUCCCGAGGGUAAAUUCUACUGUACGCAACACUUCAAGCUGCCGUCGAAAACGGUAAAACCGACAACGAAACGGUCGUUGCCUCGAACACCCCAGGGAGGAGACAGUAGACAGGCAAUGGCAGCAGCAGCAGCAGCAGCCGCUGAAUUCUCACAACCAACCACACCGGACUCGAAAUCGUCGUCCGGGGUCAUGCCGUUUGAUCUGUUGGAUCGCGGUGAAACACCGGAACGGAUUGAGUUCGAAAACGUGGACGAUCCUAUCUCGGAUUCGGAAGCAGCCAUGGAAGUGAUCGAUGAGAAUGAGUGGACCGAUCGUAACUUUGGUACCGAGUCGGAUGAGUCCGACGAGGAUAUGUCUAGUUCGGAUGAAUCGGGCAGUGACAGUGACUCGGAUUAUGAGGAAGCUGCCGGAUCGCCACUUGGGGCGCAAACUUUGCAGCUGGCGUCCGAGUGGAUUAGCGAUAAGCGGUUCUCCAAUAUGGUCGAUAGCGAUGAUGAUUUCUAUGGGUAUUCGAGUGAAGAUGACGAAGCAGAUUCACAAACCGAAGGCGAAGAAUUUGCUCGAGCACGUGAGAUUCGGAUGAUGGAAGUGAAACUUAUGCCACCGCCUACUCUACCGACUGACACCGAAACCGAUGUUGCCUCUAAACAACAGCCACAAAUAGUCCCCACUGCAUCUCCCUAUCAGCUCAGUAACUCUAGCGCCCUUUGCACUAGCAUUGUUCCUAAUCAAACCGUCAAUAACCCACCGCAGUCGGUAGAAUCCGCCGAGGAUAAGGCCCUCAAGCAGAAAAUGCUCCAGAAGCUUAGUAUCCGCGAGCAGUGGCUUCACUCUUCACCUCAUCCUUCGUCGCCGGUGGCGACCGAAGCCGCUACCCCAGCCGCAGAACCUUUAAAACCAAAAACCUCAUUUUUCGGUGGUCUCAUGAACAGUCUCAGCACACUAAUAAAAUCCGAAAAACUGGCACCUAAACCUGAAACACCCCCACCGCCAACUUGCAAAGAUUCACCCCCUAGCACACAGGAGCUUCCACAAGUCGUGCACCAACCACCGUCACCAUCGCCAUCACUCCGUCAAUCAUCCAUUGUAUCACCAAAACCGCCACCGUCACCGACACCGUCCUUGAAAAAGACAAUUCCCCCACCGUCACCAACGCCCUCGCUGAAAAAGGCAAAACAACUCGAAGUAGCCCCUUCACCGACACCGUCUUUGAAAAAACACAGGAAACAUAAACAUGCUACUCCUUCCCCAACGCCAUCUUCCGGCAUCUCGGAGGAUGCCGCAUUCGAUGAAAUGUGCGAGGCUGACCUGAAAGGUCUAAGCAGUGGCCGUAGUACUCCACGUUCGAAGCGCCGUAUUCGACCCAAAUCCCAAGAAGUUCGUCAAGAUGCUGACGAGUUUCUGGAGCAGAUCAAGCAAGAUCAAGCCGAUUUGGACAAGCGCAUGAAAAAGGUGGAGGCUAAAAAGUUCCAAAGUAACAUGCAAUCCAUUAAAUCAGCGGUCGAAAAUUCACGAAUUGUUGGUGUUAAAAGUGAAAAAGAUGUGACAAAGUUUUUUUCUGCGCCGAAGAAAGAUUCGGCGGCCGAACAGAAACCGAAACAGCUUCCUAAUAAGGACGUUUCCGCUUUACAGGGUGUCAAUCUUUCCAAGUAUUUCCCACCGUCUCCGAGCAGGUCGAAAGCAAGCGUUGGGACACCUUCCUCGGUUUCCAGCGUCGAAGGUUCGCCCAUGCUGCCUCGCAAAAAACCCAGCGAUACAGAUUUGAGGAAAUAUUUUGGUCCCAGUACGGCUAAAUCUUCCCCAUCGUCUCCAUCUUCGCUGGUUUCUCCAGCUAUCUCCCGUCAAAAUAGUACGGAAUCACCCGGGGUAGCCCGGAAAAAUAUUUCCCCCGUAACUGUCAAAGCGAUAACACCUGCCGCUUUAGCUCCUAGACCACCGAUGGUACCUCUCCCUCCGAAGAAAAAUGUUUUAGCUUUUCAGCCGAUUAAAAAAUCUAAAACUGAAACGGCUCUCCCGCCCGCUGCGCCAAUUAAAAAUGUACUGGCUUUUCAACCCGUAUCCAAACCAAAAACGUCUUCCCCAAAAGCUACGCCAAAAUCUAAAUUGAACUCAUCGCCUAAAAAGCUUAGUCCGCCACAACGAAAGUCUCCGGAGGUUGAUGAAAAAUUGUUCGAUGAUUUGCUGAAAGAUAUUGACGAAUCGGAAACAGCUUCUUUCCAAAAGUUAACCCCCUUUGUGUGUUCCCCCGACGGAUCAGAAGAGAAACUGUUUGAAGAUUUGUUGAACACUGCAAGCACUUCACCGAAGCCGGAAGGUCCGACGAAAAUUCCCCCUAAACCGAAAUCGCCCAUAAGGCGUCGAUCCCCGGAUACGGACGAACAGCUGUUCGAAGAUCUGUUGGGUGAAGUUGACGAAUCCUCGAUCGAAAAGUUUGACGAAAUUCUUGGCCUUCCCAAAAAGCAAAGUCCCAAACUGUCCAAAAAGAAACCUUCCCCAAAGCAUUCACCAAAGGUUUCGCCGAAACAGUCUCCCCUGGCGAAGAAAAAAGCCGUACCGAAAAUGACGCUUAAACGUCCACCGUUCAAAAUCACCGUCCCCGUUAAGAUGCAGCAAACGCUGGAGGAAAUCUAUCUGGCUAGCCUGUCGAAGCUGGAUACCCGAUCGGUUUCGACGACCAGCUUGAAUUCCCUCGCCAGUAAAUCCAGUGAUGGCGCUGGUAGUGAGCUAGGUAAAGUUGAUGAAGCAUUCGAACGGUUGCUGCUUGAAGAAGAGCCCGUUUCGAGUAGCGUUCUGGUUCUGAAGUCUGAGCAAAUAAAUAUUCAGCCCUUUCAGGCCCCCCAGCGAGCGAAAACGACGACAACGACAACGACGACGACGACGCAGAAUGGUGGCAACAGAAAAGGCGAGGAAGCUACUAAAAUCGAAACGACGGAAAGAUCGGAAUCGGCGAGGACCAUGGUUGGGCAGGUAUUGCCGGUAGAGUCAGAGCGCGUAACGAAUCAACAAAAUGUAUCUUCACUAGCAACGAAAGUUGGUCCCGUCGGUGGAAGUAGUACAACUAAAGUCAAUACUUGUGAUAUUGUUUCGUCGAUCGAAUAUUCCAAAGAUCUUAAACAGGAACAGUCUCGAACUCCUACAGCUAUACGUAAAAAUAUUGUACAAGAAACAUCCGACCUGCAGAGUUCUAUACUCGCGUUGAACCAGGCGCCAAUACAACAACGGAAACCUUUGGCUACAGCGUCAAAUUUAUCUACGAAUUCAUCGUUAACUACUCCCCAGACUAAACAGGAACAGCCUUCUACUCCUACAGCUACACGAAAAAAUCUCGUGCAAAAAUCAGACGUUCUGCAAAGUUCUGUGCUCGUGUUGAAACAGGAGGCAAUACAGCAAGGAAAAUCUUCGACUGCAGUGUCGAAAUUAUCUACGGAGUCACUGUUAACUACUCCCCAGACUAAGCAGCCUUCUACUCCUACAACUACACGUAAAAAUUUCGAACGAAAAUCAGAUGUUCCGCUGAGUUCUGUACUCGUGUUGAACCAGGAGGCAAUACAGCAACGAAAACCUUCUGACGCAGCGUCAAAAUUGUCCACGAAUUCACUGAUAGCUACUCCUCAGACUAAACAGCCUUCUACUCCUACAGCUACACGCAAAAAUCUCGUACAAAAAUCAGGCGUUCCGCAGAAUUCUGUACUCGUGUUGAACCAGGAGGCAAUACAGCAAGUAAAACCUUCGACAACAGUGUCAAAGUUAUCUACGGAGUCACUAUUAACUACUCCUCAGACUAAACAGCCUUCUACUCCUACAGCAAUACGCAAGAAUCUUGUGCAAAAUCCAGACGUUCUUCAGAGUUCUGUACCGGUGUCGAACCAGGAAGCGAUACAGCCACGAAAACCUUCAGAUGCUGCGUCAAAAUUGUCCACGAAUUCACAGUUAACUACUCCUCAGACUAAACAGGAACAAACUUCUACUCAUACAGCCACACACAAAAAUUUUGCGCAAAAAUCAGACGCUCUGCAGAGUUCUGUACUCGUGUUGAACCAGGAGGUAACACAGCAAGGAAGACCUUUGACUACAGUGUCAAAAUUAUCUACGGAGUCGCUGUUAACUCCUCAGACUAAGCAGUUUUCUACUCCUACAGCUACACGCAAAAAUCUUGUACAGAAGUCAGACACCCUGCAGAGUUCUGUACUCGUGUUGAACCAGGAGGCAACACAGCAACGAACAACAGCCGAUACAAUGUCAAAAAUGUCCGCGGAUUCACGAUUAACUGCCCCUCAGACUCCCACUGCAAUUCGAAAAUCUGCAAUCGAAGUUCAAUUAAGUCCUACGAAUGUAUGUGAAAGCAAAAUGAACGGAAUGAUGGAUACCUCGAAUUCAACUAGCACUACGUCGCAGUCAAAGGCUGUGAAACCUUCGAUAACCGAACGUAUGCCUACAAGGAUGCUAUCGUCCCAGAAGGAAGUUUUCCUAAAAUCAGCACCGUCCGUUGCCGUUGACUCAAGAAAUGCUGGAAACUCAACAAUAGUGAAUUACAAAUCAGAAAGCGUUGCAGCGCCUACAAGAAGCGUUCCGGUUCAACAGAAUCCUGUUGCUGUAGCAAGUCCUAUUCUAGCAAGAAAGAGCACGAAGGUCAUUCCGGAAAAAUCUACUGCAUCAGAAAAAUCAGAGGCUCUAAUUUUAAGAAAUUCUCAACAGCCAAGAACCGUUUCAACACCCACAAUAACUAGGCCACAUCAAACAGCUGACGCCAUCCAAAAAGUUCUGGUUCAAGAGCAUAGUGUAGCUCUAUCAAGUCCCACUCUACCUAAAAAGAACAUGAUGGCGGCCGUUCCGGACGUCACCAAAGCAGCAGCUCUUUCUUCAGAAAAUUCUAUAAAAUCUGCAAUUGUUACACCGCCAUAUCAAGCUCCCCGUUCCAGCAAUACCAUCUUGGUCCAAGAACAUAGUGUUCCUGUGGUAAGUUCCACUUCAGUGAAAAGGCCAUCUAUGAUUGUUUCGGAUGCUGUAACUACAACGAAUACUCCUCAAUCAAUCAAACUGGCAGCACUGCCCACAGCACACCAAACUCCCACGUCAACAUCCAAAGUUUUGGUCCAAGAACGUGAUCCUUCGUCUAUCACUCAAAAACUUCAGCAAGGUUUCCCGACUCAACUAAACUCCCUCCCCGUAGUCCAACCAGAGCAGAUGAGUUCAGCUGCCGAACGAAGCUUCCACGAACUGCCCGUGAAGCCUGAAGCUAGUUCGCGCAAACAAUCAGAAAUUGAGAAAGCCGUAUCCUUGCCAACACCCGAACCCACCUCCAAGCGACAGGAUUUCUUCAAAGAACUACUGGAGAAUAAAGAUCAAAACGAACCACGCCCGGUGGUGGUGGAAAACAAACCGGUCGAUGUGCCACGCACCCUCUCCGAGUUCCGCUGCUCUAUUCUCACGAAACAAAUGCGUUCUGAAAGGAGCCACCGACGUGGUGAAGAGAUUGAACCUAUGCUACGUGAUAAGAUUAAUGAGUUAGUAAUGGAGGUCGAACCGGGAACGAACCUAGACGACAUGAUCGAGGAAGUCCCGGUUCCAGCAAGCCGAAAGAAAUCCUCCUUCCAGAAGAUGUUCAACAAACUACAGCGUGCGAAUACUAUUGCCGCACCGGAGGGUUCAUCGUUGAAGAGUUUGCUGCUGCCGUUCAAAAAGGAAGAGUUAAAAAUUGAGGUUAUUCGGGAAGGUCCCAGUAAAGAGUCAAUGAAACCGACUACUUCUGAGUCGGCGAAGAUCCAACCGCAGCCAGUGGAGGUUAAGGAGCGUAUGCAGAUCAAUCUGGAACGUUCGGCGCAAAUUAAGGAGAGAUAUGUUAAACAAAAGGCACCAUCGCCUCCUAGAUCAGCCGGAAACGGCAAAGAAUCUCCAAUUCAAACGACCAUAACAAAAACGUCUUCCUUUAAGAUUCAUUCAACAUCGCAGAAAUUGCAACCGGGACUAUCGGGACUCAAACAAGAUCUAGUUGAGGUUUCCAAAAAGCUGGAAAAGCCUGUGUCAAAUAUGGCGUUGCCAAAUGAGAAAACUGAGAGACCUCCGGAAACAAAUUCGGUUAAGAUUGCUUCUGCUCCAAUAUCUGAGGUACCCACGCCUAAAAUUAACACUUCGCUCAAGCGAAAUAGCCCACCAACUCCAAAAACGUUGGUGGAGAAAUCGCUACCCCCGGUAAUCCAAAAAGAAGCUCCCGAACCUACACCGCAGAAAGCACUUCUUCAAUCACCGUCAACGGGUGCUUCUCUGAAUAUUGCUCCAGUUCCUCCUGCUCGGCGAGGUUCCCGAACGUCACGAUCACCCAGCAUUGUCUCCGAAUCGGUGAAACUCGGCGAACGAAAAACUUUGUUCAAAAUGCCAGCGCCAAAAGAUGUCGAUCAAAUUCGUAGCAUAUUAAGCCGUGACGGCGGUGGUAACAAGAACCAUGAGGUUUCCGAUUUUGAACAAUUGCUAGGUGACGUGGAUAGCACGGAAAUCGUUGAAAUAAAUGAUCUGCUUUCCUCGGAUUGUCAGGUAGAGAUUCUACCGUCGUCAGUGUUCCCAGUUGCUGGCGCAGAUCCUUGUCAUGAGAAGACAAAGCGAGUCAUCGACGCUACACUUUCUUCGACACUAGUUGGUAAUAAGGAACCGGCAAGAAAUGCUCCCAAAAACGUUCUUUCCGAUGAACAAUUCAACAACACUUCAAAGGAGUUAACAGAUAGAUUCUUGAGCUCUAAGUUGCCUACAAAAAAUGAAAAGAAAAAUCUGAACAGCGAAGCGAUGAUCACGACCUUAACAGAAACCACUACGACCAUGUCAGAAAAAGAAUCAAACCUCUUCGAAACCCUUAACAAACCAGAAUCUCCCAAAGUGUUAAAACUGGAUGCAUCAGAUCUUAUCAACUCAUCCGCUUCGCUUCCGGAACAAAACUCCCUACCCGACGUCAUCAAUAUGACCCGAAAACCAUCUUUCGAAGAAACACCCUCGUGCAAAACCCCACUCCACCCGGAUAAGAUCCAGCAGAUCAUACACCCCACACCUCAAGAGAUCCAAGUUUACACACUGCACACCGCUGACGGCAACAAACCGAUCGAACCGCAACCGUCCACCCGCGGUAUGACCGGUGAAUAUGCUCACAUUUUGCGAGACAUCACCUCCGGCCUGGUAGGCGCUGAUUUUGACUCUCCCGAAAUCUACGAACCACCCCCACCACCGUCGAUCAACGUCAAACCAAAGUCGGACUUCACCAUCUACAAGCAAAUGUUGGAAGAUGAUAAAGCGGUCGAUUCGCCCCAACGACCAUCACGCCGCCAAAAGCAGUACGAUCGAAGUGUAUCGCCAGCUCUGAAGCCUUUCGAUAACUCCAUAUGUAUUGAUCCACGCCGGGCUAAGAGAUCAUCCAGCAUCGAAAAUGUAGCUAUUGAUCAGGUGGUUGUGAAGCAGGACGACAAAGUUAUCGAUACGUUCUACGUGGUACCCGAACGGCCUCCACCCCUCAAGCGACGAUCAAAAUCGUUCGAUCGACUGGAUGUUCCGUAUGUAUCCCGUGCUGGUGCACGUCAGCACAAGAAAUCUCUGGAAGAACUCCGUGAUUAUGGCUUUGAUAUCGAACCUCCUUCCACGUCCAAGAAGCUGGUGAAUCCCAGACUAAGACACUUCAACAUUGUGGAGUCCGAUGAAGAUCUUUCCAGUUUGAAUGAACCAAGAAAGUUUGGGCGUAUGCGAAAGUGUCAAUCAUCAGCGGACACAUCCAAGCUUGGAUCUUUGACUCGAGUCGACAUUGAUCGUGAGUCUCCCAUUCCUCGUAGCACCGAUUUUUCAAAGUGGGAAGCUAUUCUGGAUCGUGGCGUUCCGUACUAUCACGAAACUAUUGUAAGUCACAAGAAAGAAGAUAUUAAAACUUUAGAAAGGAAACUAGAAGACUUGAAAACGGAGCGAAAACCGCGACGAAAAACUUCCAGCAAGACUGAUAUACCGAAGGAGUACGAUCCAGAUGAGUACGUACCAAGAAUUAAUCGAAGAUUCGUCGAUUCUUUCGAAAUUCCGGAUUCUAAUCUUCCAAAAUCAUACGACCCGGAUGAAUACGUACCGAAAGCUCAGCGCGCGGCACGCCGUGCCCACGACGUCGAUGUUCCUACGACCACGAUCAAACCACAGCGAUCUUCUGCCUAUGAAACCGACGUUCCGAUAUCUCGUGUAGCUGGAAAAUAUUAUCCCGAUACUAUGCAUCUGGACGAUAUUCCACAUACCCUCCCAAGAUCGAAGACAACCUCACACGUACCAUUAACCUCAACCUCCUCCAGAUCUUUCGACGUACCCUCGCGCCGUCUCGCGGCCAACACCCCCGUCAGCAGUGCCACCCGUACCCGACAACUGCACGAAAAGGCCAACCGGUUCAUUCGAUCGCAACACACCAAAAACGACCCAAACCCUUACAUUCGCGCCUUGGACGAUAGCGAUGACGACGGUUGCCCGCUGGUGGUAACGACAUCGUCAUCAUCGCAUCGUACACCGAUCACCACCGUAGGCUCAUAUCGUCCCGUGUCCACCUUCGGUACAUCCAAUACGGCGGCCCUGAGUCGCAUCACCACCAAAGCCAUCACUCAGCCGUCACGAAUGACAUCCUACACUCGCAAAGACGGUCCAUCUACGUCCGCUCGAUCGUAUCGCCGAGGGGGUGAAUCUUCAAAUCGUCGAGACAAUUGCUCAAUUUCCUAGACAGAAAACAAACAAUACAAGCGCUAGUUUUAUAGUUACUUUUCGGACCCUGUUUGUUCAAAAUUAAUGUCACAUCAAUCAAUAGAAGAAAAAUUACACCCACACAGAAAUUUGUAAGCAUAGAAAAACCAUCGAAAUUUCAUCCCCACACAUCAAAAAAAAACUGAAACAGGAUUCCUGGGUACGAUUUAAGCUGAAUUGAGGAAGAAACUCAAAACUAAAAGAGGGUGCAUCGGAUUCAGAUUCGUACUCGGAGGAAAUCAACUCGGCAACGGAGAUCUCGACCGACUCGGAGUUUGACCAUGAACCAACCCAUCGGCUGCCGCCGCGAAUUUUCAUCGACGACACACACCUGCGACGGCCG